AGGUUUGGAUGGAGGAGAAGAAUUUGGUUUACAUGUAAGAAUUGGUUUACAUUGGUAAUCCAGAAGAAGAAAACUAGAGGGUCCUGUAAGCUGCAAUUUAAGGGAAUUGAACCAUUUUUUGAAGCUGAGCCUGGACCUCUUUGUAACACAGUAUAGUAAAUAUAAAAUGGUAGAGGAUGACUGCAAGGAAAACUUUCAUCUGAAGAAGUGGAUGCAACAGGCUUCUGCACUCUGCCCUGCCAAGAUGACCAUGGAUGAGAACUUGGCCAAAAUUCAGCCAAGCACAACUGUUCAGCAGCCUGUGAGGCAGCCAGCCCAAGGGUGCCAGCCCACAGGGAUACCCGGUGGCGAGUGGUCAAAUUGCAGGGAUCCUCCCUGUGAGUUUCUGUUCAAGGCCUAUGGAGAGUCCGCUGGUCAGCAGUGGCAGAAGGAGAGGCAGCAGAUGCCGAGAGGUGAUGGGAUCACUACAAUGACCGAGCCCUGGAAUAGGAAACAGUAGUCCCUGCUGAUGAGGGGCAAGGUCAACAGGCAUGAGAACUGUUUAUAUCCUGAAUAAGGCUCCAGCUUCUGGAUAUCAUUCUAGGCUCUAUAAAGCCUGGCAACGUGGCCAUGGUGGUGGGUUUCAUGAUGGAGAGCAGAGUGACCUAUCUAUGUAAGAAAUCUUUAUAAAUUCCCUUUCUUGGGCUACACUAUACCACCCCAAGUGAGCAUCCAGCCGUGGAUCCUUGCCGUGUGUCCAAAGUACAGCUCAUUCCUGGUUCCUUUUGGCUGGAAAGAGCACGUAAGAGGUGCAGUGGCCUCCCUGAGAUUGGUAUCAGCACUGGGUUGUCCUUUGCCAGUGUUUCUGAGGAUGAGAAUAAAUGAGCACUGUGACCUUUGUUUGCCUGAUUCCAUGUUGGACAUCAC
rnacentral:lncRNA from 1 species